AAUUGGUCUUAGUCAUUGGUGCAAGGACCCGAUCCGUUAAUAAUAAUAAUAAUAAUAAUUUGUUGAGUUCAAAUUAUCGGUCCUAAUUGUCUAAGCUCAGUUAUUAUUAAUAACGUGUAGUCCUUAUGUAUUUUAAUUAGAAUCAUUUUUCCAUCUAACAUGUGACUUUUCGGGUAUUACAAACUCCUCUUGUUUGGAUCCUAAUAUUCUCGUCGGAUUCAAACCAUAUUACAAAUGUAAAUCAAAAUUAUCAUACGAUAUGAGAUUCAAAAAGUGGCGCCUAUAGAUUUAAGAGGUAGCUCCCCAAAAAAGAAAAUAGCAGCCUUUUCGAUAUAUGAAUCAUUAGAUAAUGAAUUCAACGG
rnacentral:lncRNA from 1 species